CCUACGGGUGGCUGCAGUCGGGAAUUUUGGGCAAUGGGCGAAAGCCUGACCCAGCAACGCCGCGUGAAGGAUGAAGUAUUUCGGUAUGUAAACUUCGAAAGAAUAGGAAGAAUUAAUGACGGUACUAUUUAUAAGGUCCGGCUAACUACGUGCCAGCAGCCGCGGUAAUACGUAGGGACCAAGCGUUGUUCGGAUUUACUGGGCGUAAAGGGCGCGUAGGCGGCAUGGCAAGUCACUUGUGAAAUCUCCGGGCUUAACUCGGAAAGGCCAAGUGAUACUGCUGAGCUAGAGUGCAGAAGGGGCAAUCGGAAUUCUUGGUGUAGCGGUGAAAUGCGUAGAUAUCAAGAGGAACACCUGAGGUGAAGACGGGUUGCUGGGCUGACACUGACGCUGAGGCGCGAAAGCUAGGGGAGCAAACGGGAUUAGAUACCCGUGUAGUC
rnacentral:rRNA from 1 species